GCAUAUCCAAAAAGCGGAGGAAAAGAAACCAACAGGGAUUGCCUUAGUAGCGGCGAGUGAAGCGGCAAAAGCUCAAAUUUGAAAUCUGGCUCUUUCAGAGUCCGAGUUGUAAUUUGAAGAAGGUAUCUUUGGGUCUGGCUCUUGUCUAUGUUUCUUGGAACAGAACGUCACAGAGGGUGAGAAUCCCGUGCGAUGAGAUGAUCCAGGCCUAUGUAAAGUUCCUUCGAAGAGUCGAGUUGUUUGGGAAUGCAGCUCUAAGUGGGUGGUAAAUUCCAUCUAAAGCUAAAUAUUGGCGAGAGACCGAUAGCGAACAAGUACAGUGAUGGAAAGAUGAAAAGAACUUUGAAAAGAGAGUGAAAAAGUACGUGAAAUUGUUGAAAGGGAAGGGCUUGAGAUCAGACUUGGUAUUUUGUAUGUUACUUCUUCGGGGGUGGCCUCUACAGUUUAUCGGGCCAGCAUCAGUUUGGGCGGUAGGAGAAUUGCGUUGGAAUGUGGCACGGCUUCGGUUGUGUGUUAUAGCCUUCGUCGAUACUGCCAGCCUAGACUGAGGACUGCGGUUUAUACCUAGGAUGUUGGCAUAAUGAUCUUAAGUCGCCCGUCUUGAACC
rnacentral:rRNA from 1 species